GGUUAAGCGACUAAGCGUACACGGUGGAUGCCCUGGCAGUCAGAGGCGAUGAAGGACGUGCUAAUCUGCGAAAAGCGUCGGUAAGGUGAUAUGAACCGUUACAGCCGGCGAUGUCCGAAUGGGGAAACCCAGUGCAAUUCGUUGCACUAUCGUUAACUGAAUACAUAGGUUAACGAGGCGAACCGGGGGAACUGAAACAUCUAAGUACCCCGAGGAAAAGAAAUCAACCGAGAUUCCCCCAGUAGCGGCGAGCGAACGGGGAGCAGCCCAGAGUCUGAAUCAGCUUGUGUGUUAGUGGAACGGUCUGGAAAGUCCGACGGUACAGGGUGAUAGUCCCGUACACCAAAAUGCACAGGUUGUGAACUCGAAGAGUAGGGCGGGACACGUGGUAUCCUGUCUGAAUAUGGGGGGACCAUCCUCCAAGGCUAAAUACUCCUGACUGACCGAUAGUGAACCAGUACCGUGAGGGAAAGGCGAAAAGAACCCCGGCGAGGGGAGUGAAAAAGAACCUGAAACCGUGUACGUACAAGCAGUGGGAGCACCUUCGGGUGUGACUGCGUACCUUUUGUAUAAUGGGUCAGCGACUUAUAUUCUGUAGCAAGGUUAACCGUAUAGGGGAGCCGCAGGGAAACCGAGUCUUAACUGGGCGUUAAGUUGCAGGGUAUAGACCCGAAACCCGGUGAUCUAGCCAUGGGCAGGUUGAAGGUUGGGUAACACUAACUGGAGGACCGAACCGACUAAUGUUGAAAAAUUAGCGGAUGACUUGUGGCUGGGGGUGAAAGGCCAAUCAAACCGGGAGAUAGCUGGUUCUCCCCGAAAGCUAUUUAGGUAGCGCCUCGUGAACUCAUCUUCGGGGGUAGAGCACUGUUUCGGCUAGGGGGUCAUCCCGACUUACCAACCCGAUGCAAACUACGAAUACCGAAGAAUGUUAUCACGGGAGACACACGGCGGGUGCUAACGUCCGUCGUGAAGAGGGAAACAACCCAGACCGCCAGCUAAGGUCCCAAAGUCACAGUUAAGUGGGAAACGAUGUGGGAAGGCACAGACAGCCAGGAUGUUGGCUUAGAAGCAGCCAUCAUUUAAAGAAAGCGUAAUAGCUCACUGGUCGAGUCGGCCUGCGCGGAAGAUGUAACGGGGCUAAACUGUGCACCGAAGCUGCGGCAGCGACACUAUGUGUUGUUGGGUAGGGGAGCGUUCUGUAAGCCUGCGAAGGUGGCCUGUGAGGGUUGCUGGAGGUAUCAGAAGUGCGAAUGCUGACAUAAGUAACGAUAAUGCGGGUGAAAAGCCCGCACGCCGGAAGACCAAGGGUUCCUGUCCAACGUUAAUCGGGGCAGGGUGAGUCGACCCCUAAGGCGAGGCCGAAAGGCGUAGUCGAUGGGAAACAGGUUAAUAUUCCUGUACUUGGUGUUACUGCGAAGGGGGGACGGAGAAGGCUAUGUUAGCCGGGCGACGGUUGUCCCGGUUUAAGCAUGUAGGCGGAGGUUCCAGGUAAAUCCGGUACCUUAUUAACGCUGAGGUGUGAUGACGAGGCACUACGGUGCUGAAGUAACAAAUGCCCUGCUUCCAGGAAAAGCCUCUAAGCAUCAGGUAACAUUAAAUCGUACCCCAAACCGACACAGGUGGUCAGGUAGAGAAUACCAAGGCGCUUGAGAGAACUCGGGUGAAGGAACUAGGCAAAAUGGUGCCGUAACUUCGGGAGAAGGCACGCUGAUAUGUAGGUGAAGCCCCUGCGGGUGGAGCUGAAAUCAGUCGAAGAUACCAGCUGGCUGCAACUGUUUAUUAAAAACACAGCACUGUGCAAACACGAAAGUGGACGUAUACGGUGUGACGCCUGCCCGGUGCCGGAAGGUUAAUUGAUGGGGUUAUCCGUAAGGAGAAGCUCUUGAUCGAAGCCCCGGUAAACGGCGGCCGUAACUAUAACGGUCCUAAGGUAGCGAAAUUCCUUGUCGGGUAAGUUCCGACCUGCACGAAUGGCGUAAUGAUGGCCAGGCUGUCUCCACCCGAGACUCAGUGAAAUUGAACUCGCUGUGAAGAUGCAGUGUACCCGCGGCAAGACGGAAAGACCCCGUGAACCUUUACUAUAGCUUGACACUGAACAUUGAGCCUUGAUGUGUAGGAUAGGUGGGAGGCUUUGAAGCGUGGACGCCAGUCUGCGUGGAGCCAACCUUGAAAUACCACCCUUUAAUGUUUGAUGUUCUAACGUUGGCCCCUAAUCGGGGUUGCGGACAGUGUCUGGUGGGUAGUUUGACUGGGGCGGUCUCCUCCCAAAGAGUAACGGAGGAGCACGAAGGUUAGCUAAUCCUGGUCGGACAUCAGGAGGUUAGUGCAAUGGCAUAAGCUAGCUUGACUGCGAGCGUGACGGCGCGAGCAGGUGCGAAAGCAGGUCAUAGUGAUCCGGUGGUUCUGAAUGGAAGGGCCAUCGCUCAACGGAUAAAAGGUACUCCGGGGAUAACAGGCUGAUACCGCCCAAGAGUUCAUAUCGACGGCGGUGUUUGGCACCUCGAUGUCGGCUCAUCACAUCCUGGGGCUGAAGUAGGUCCCAAGGGUAUGGCUGUUCGCCAUUUAAAGUGGUACGCGAGCUGGGUUUAGAACGUCGUGAGACAGUUCGGUCCCUAUCUGCCGUGGGCGCUGGAGAAUUGAGGGGGGCUGCUCCUAGUACGAGAGGACCGGAGUGGACGCAUCACUGGUGUUCGGGUUGUCAUGCCAAUGGCAUUGCCCGGUAGCUAAAUGCGGAAGAGAUAAGUGCUGAAAGCAUCUAAGCACGAAACUUGCCCCGAGAUGAGUUCUCCCUGAGACUUUAAGUCUCCUGAAGGAACGUUAAAGACGAUGACGUUGAUAGGUCGGGUGUGUAAGCGUAGCGAUACGUUGAGCUAACCGAUACUAAUGAACCGUGAGGCUUAACCUU
rfam:Enterobacter aerogenes KCTC 2190, complete genome.